AACUACCAGGCACCACUCAGGAAACUUCUCUUUCCGUUCUCUAACUUCCCCAAGACCCUGUCAGGCAUGGAACUCUCUGUAUCCUCUGUGGACACCCACCUACCUGUGGCAGAGCCUAGGAACACACAGGACUCGGCUCUCUCAAGAGAUUCCAAGUGGACCGAGGACAGGAAGCCUUCCUUCAAUGAGCACUGAAAGUCUCCAGAGGCUCUCCUCCACACUGCUGACAUCUUCCAUGAUGAAGCCUAGAAGAAAAUCACUCUCCCUGCCUCCUGGAGACACGCCUAUCUAUGCUCUUCCAAAUCUCCCUCUCUACAAAGCUUCCUGGAGACUUUUGCUAUGGCUAAAAUGAGAGCUUCCUGGUGAUGGGGGUGGGUGUGGAGGACCUGACUUCAUGGACCUGCUUGUCAGGCCACUUUAAAGGACGGUACUGCCACCUUCCCAAUGGUUCUUACACAAUGCUCUUACCAACCACGCUCUGGCAUGCCCCUGAGCCCUAAUCCACACACACGAAGCACCACUCCAAACCUUGUACUCACCUGAGCUGGAUCUGAAGGAUGGAGCCCUAAAAGGCUUCCCUAUAUGCAAACCUGUCCUUCCUCUACAUCCCAGAGCUGACGACCAUAACUCGUACAUACUGUGCCUCUCAGGCACUGCUAUGACUUCUCACAGUACUGGGCCACAAUAAUCCCAGGUACACACACACACACACACACACACACACA